UAUAAAACUUAAGAAUAAGUGAUGAAGUUUAAUUUCCGAGCUUGGGGACAAAAGUGUAAUUAUGCAAAAGUUUGGGGGCAAAAUUGUAAUUUUCAAAAAGUUGGGUGGUGGAUUAUUUUAAUAAAUGUGAAUAAUAAACGAGUUAAAUUUGCUAUUAUAGAUCAAGAAAGACGUGAAGAGUAUAUCAAACGGGGAAAAGAAAAGAUAGUGGAGUAAAGUGCAAAAUUACGAUAUUUUGCACCGAGUGACUUCCAACAACUCGGAAAUUGGAACGAAGUCAGACAAUCAUCUACACUAUCCUUCACAUUUGGGGUAUUUUACUACUAGUGUUCCGAAAUUUUAUGGCAUGUAUAGACAAUUUAUGUAAUGUGGGAUCAUCAUGUAAAUAUAUGUUAUGGUUCCCUUUUAAAUGUAGUGUUUAUUAAUAGUUAAACUAUAUGUGUGUUUAUACAAAUGAAA